rnacentral:rRNA from 1 species
UACGGAGGGGGCUAGCGUUGUUCGGAAUUACUGGGCGUAAAGCGCACGUAGGCGGCUUUGUAAGUUAGAGGUGAAAGCCCAGGGCUUAACCCUGGAAUUGCCUUUAAGACUGCAUCGCUAGAAUCGUGGAGAGGUAAGUGGAAUUCCGAGUGUAGAGGUGAAAUUCGUAGAUAUUCGGAAGAACACCAGUGGCGAACGGCGACUUACUGGACACGUAUUG